GAAUGCGCAGCUACCAUGCAGUCGACGAUGAAGCCCUUCGGGGUGGAUUAGUGGCGAACGGGUGAGUAACACGUGGGCAAUCUGCCCUUCACUCUGGGACAAGCCCUGGAAACGGGGUCUAAUACCGGAUAACACUCCUGCCUGCAUGGGCGGGGGUUAAAAGCUCCGGCGGUGAAGGAUGAGCCCGCGGCCUAUCAGCUUGUUGGUGGGGUAAUGGCCUACCAAGGCGACGACGGGUAGCCGGCCUGAGAGGGCGACCGGCCACACUGGGACUGAGACACGGCCCAGACUCCUACGGGAGGCAGCAGUGGGGAAUAUUGCACAAUGGGCGAAAGCCUGAUGCAGCGACGCCGCGUGAGGGAUGACGGCCUUCGGGUUGUAAACCUCUUUCAGCAGGGAA
rnacentral:rRNA from 1 species